rnacentral:rRNA from 1 species
GUUUACAGCCAUACUCUUCUGAACACACUUAGCCUCGUCUGACCUCAGAAGCUAAGCAGAGAUGUGUAGUCCUUGCUGGUAAAUGGAUGUUGUGACAC